rnacentral:tRNA from 1 species
GCUGGCGUAGCUCAGCUGGUAGAGCAGCUGACUUGUAAUCAGCAGGUCGUGGGUUCGAGUCCCUCCGCCAGCUCUA